rnacentral:rRNA from 1 species
GACGAACGCUGGCGGCGUGCCUAAUACAUGCAAGUCGAGCGGACCUCCUCGGAGGUCAGCGGCGGACGGGUGAGUAACACGUGGGCAACCUGCCUGUAAGACUGGGAUAACACCGGGAAACCGGUGCUAAUACCGGAUAAUCCUUUUCCUCACAUGAGGGGAAGCUGAAAGACGGUUUCGGCUGUCACUUACAGAUGGGCCCGCGGCGCAUUAGCUAGUUGGUGGGGUAACGGCCCACCAAGGCGAUGAUGCGUAGCCGACCUGAGAGGGUGAUCGGCCACACUGGGACUGAGACACGGCCCAGACUCAUACGGGAGGCAGCAGUAGGGAAUCUUCCGCAAUGGACGAAAGUCUGACGGAGCAACGCCGCGUGAGCGAAGAAGGCCUUCGGGUCGUAAAGCUCUGUUGUCAGGGAAGAACACGUACCGGAGUAACUGCCGGUACCUUGACGGUACCGUCGAAGGAAGCACCGGCUAACUCCGUGCCAGCAGCCGCAGUAACAC